rnacentral:rRNA from 1 species
UAGGGAAUAUUGGACAAUGGGCGGAAGCCUGAUCCAGCCAUGCCGCGUGGAGGAAGACGGCCCUCUGGGUUGUAAACUCCUUUUGAAAGGGAAGAAACCUCUCUAUUUAUGGAUGAGCUGACGGUACCUUUCGAAUAAGCACCGGCUAACUCCGUGCCAGCAGCCGCGGUAAUACGGAGGGUGCAAGCGUUAUCCGGAUUUACUGGGUUUAAAGGGUGCGUAGGCGGUUUUUUAAGUCAGUGGUGAAAUACCCGUGCUCAACAUGGGAAUUGCCAUUGAUACUGAAGGACUUGAAUAUGAGUGAGGCAGGCGGAAUGAUGCAUGUAGCGGUGAAAUGCUUAGAUAUGUUUCAGAACACCUAUUGCGAAGGCAGCUUGCUAAUUCAUGAUUGACGCUGAGGCACGAAAGCGUGGGGAGCAAACA